AUUAUCAUUUGUAUAUAUAGAUCCUCGAAUAUCAUAAUAUGAACCUGAAGUUCAUAAAAGGAUAAUUCAAUUGCAACAUACUGCAAAGCAUGCUAUAUGCAUUUGCUGACCCAAAGAAAGUAACUAUAUUCUCACUGCAAAUACUCAUAUUAAGUCUCAGAAGGACAAAGUCUUUGAUACGCUUAAAGCGUAUAGACGAAUCGGUUUCAAAAUAACUUCU
rnacentral:lncRNA from 1 species